AGUGCAUGUGGUGGAUGCCUUGGCAGUCAGAGGCGAUGAAAGACGUGAUAGCCUGCGAAAAGCUCCGGGGAGGCGGCAAAUAUCCUUUGAUCCGGAGAUGUCUGAAUGGGGGAACCCACCUACUUUAAGGUAGGUAUUGCAACAUGAAUACAUAGUGUUGCAAGGCGAACGAGGGGAAGUGAAACAUCUCAGUACCCUUAGGAAAAGAAAUCAAUUGAGAUUCCCUCAGUAGCGGCGAGCGAACGGGGAUCAGCCCAUUAAGUUAUGUGUGUUUUAGUGGAACGCUCUGGGAAGUGCGAACGUAGAGGGUGAUAUUCCCGUACACGAAAGGGCACACAUAAUGAUGACGAGUAGGGCGAGGCACGUGAAACCUUGUCUGAAUAUGGGGGGACCAUCCUCCAAGGCUAAAUACUCCUGACUGACCGAUAGUGAACCAGUACCGUGAGGGAAAGGCGAAAAGAACCCCUGUGAGGGGAGUGAAAUAGAUCCUGAAACCGCAUGCAUACAAGCAGUGGGAGCACCUUCGUGGUGUGACUGCGUACCUUUUGUAUAAUGGGUCAGCGACUUAUAUUCAGUAGCGAGGUUAACCGUAUAGGGGAGCCGUAGAGAAAUCGAGUCUUAAUAGGGCGUUUAGUUGCUGGGUAUAGACCCGAAACCAGGCGAUCUAUCCAUGAGCAGGUUGAAGGUUGGGUAACACUAACUGGAGGACCGAACCCACUGUCGUUGAAAAGCCAGGGGAUGACUUGUGGAUAGGGGUGAAAGGCUAAUCAAGCCUGGUGAUAGCUGGUUCUCCCCGAAAGCUAUUUAGGUAGCGCCUCGGACGAAUACCAUAGGGGGUAGAGCACUGUUUCGGCUAGGGGGUCAUCCCGACUUACCAAACCGAUGCAAACUCCGAAUACCUAUGAGUACUAUCCGGGAGACAGACUGCGGGUGCUAACGUCCGUAGUCAAGAGGAAAACAAUCCAGACCGCCAGCUAAGGCCCCAAAAUCAUAGUUAAGUGGGAAACGAUGUGGGAAGGCAUAGACAGCUAGGAGGUUGGCUUAGAAGCAGCCACCCUUUAAAGAAAGCGUAAUAGCUCACUAGUCGAGUCGGCCUGCGCGGAAGAUGUAACGGGGCUAAAACUAUGUGCCGAAGCUGCGGAUGUAUACUUUGUAUACGUGGUAGGGGAGCGUUCUGUAAGCCGAUGAAGGUGUGUUGAGAAGCAUGCUGGAGGUAUCAGAAGUGCGAAUGCUGACGUGAGUAACGACAAAACGGGUGAAAAACCCGUUCGCCGAAAGACCAAGGGUUCCAGUCCAACGUUAAUCGGGGCUGGGUGAGUCGACCCCUAAGGCGAGGCCGAAAGGCGUAGUCGAUGGGAAAAUGGUUAAUAUUCCAUUACUUCUGUGUAAUGCGAUGAGAGGACGGAGAAGGCUAAAUCAGCCUGGCGUUGGUUGUCCAGGUGAAAGGAUGUAGGCAUGUAUCUUAGGCAAAUCCGGGGUACUCUAUGCUGAGAUCUGAUAGCAAGCUGUACUUGUACAGCGAAGUGGUUGAUGCCAUGCUUCCAGGAAAAGUCUCUAAGCUUCAGUUACACAGGAAUCGUACCCGAAACCGACACAGGUGGUCAGGUCGAGUAGACCAAGGCGCUUGAGAGAACUCUGCUGAAGGAACUAGGCAAAAUGGUACCGUAACUUCGGGAGAAGGUACGCUGUUGUUGGUGAUGGAACUCGCUUCCUGAGCUGACGACAGCCGCAGAAACCAGGCCGCUGCAACUGUUUAUUAAAAACAUAGCACUCUGCAAACACGAAAGUGGACGUAUAGGGUGUGAUGCCUGCCCGGUGCUGGAAGGUUAAUUGAUGGGGUUAGCGUAAGCGAAGCUCUUGAUCGAAGCCCCAGUAAACGGCGGCCGUAACUAUAACGGUCCUAAGGUAGCGAAAUUCCUUGUCGGGUAAGUUCCGACCUGCACGAAUGGCAUAAUGAUGGCGGCGCUGUCUCCAGCAGAGGCUCAGUGAAAUCGAAAUCGCUGUGAAGAUGCAGUGUACCCGCGGCUAGACGGAAAGACCCCGUGAACCUUUACUGCAGCUUGACACUGAACUUUGACCUUACUUGUGUAGGAUAGGUGGGAGGCUUUGAAGCUGGAACGCUAGU
rnacentral:rRNA from 1 species